GGCUUAUUGAUGUUAAUUUUAAGUCAAUCUGCCCAAUGAUUAAUAAUUUAAUGGCUGCAGUAUAACUGACUGUACAAAGGUAGCAUAAUCAAUUGUUUUUUAAUUAAGAACUGGAAUGAAAGAAUUAAUGAGAUAUAUACUGUCUCAUAUAUAUUUAAUUAAUUUAAAUUUUUAGUAAAAAUGCUUAAAUAAGUUUAUGGGACGAUAAGACCCUAUAGAAUUUUAUAUUAAUUUGUAGAUUAGUUGAUAUUUUAUUGAUUAAUAUUUAGUUGGGAGGAUUGAUAAAUUGAAUGAACUUUAUCUUUAAUUUAAACUUUGAUAUAAGAAUUAGUGAUGAUCUUGUAUUAUUGAUUAUAAGAAUAAAUUACCUUAGGGAUAACAGCGUAAUAUCUUUUUAAAGAUCGUAUUAAUAAAGAUGAUUGCGACCUCGAUGUUGAAUUAAGAUAAAUUUUAAAUGAAGAAGUUUAAUAAUUAAGUCUGUUCGACUUUUAAAAUCUU
rnacentral:rRNA from 1 species